GCCUUUUUUGCAAAGGCUGGAUUGGACUAUGUUUCAUGUUCUUCCUUCAGGGUUCCUAUUGCUAGACUUGCAGCAGCCCAAGUUGCAAUUUGAGAUUUGCCUCCCCAAAUGUAAAUACACAAACCAUAAAGAUACAUUGGAGCCAUGUACAAUAAAGGAGCUUCUACUUUACCUAAAUUGUAGGAAUAACUGCUGCUGCUCAAUAAUAAGUCUUGAUAUAUUUGUUAUUGUGUUAUUCUAUAAUGUUAUUCCGAAUAAUAGGCAGAAGAAAGAAAGAAAAUUUGUACAA